AAAUUGAAGAGUUUGAUCAUGGCUCAGAUUGAACGCUGGCGGCAAAAUUUCAACAUCUGAGAUCAGACGGUAGCAGAGCGGCUUGCUGUUUCUGCUGACGAAAGUGAGGACCGGUGAAGUAAUGUAUAGAGCAUACCUGAUGGAGGGAUAACUACUAGAGCAGUACUUUGUACCGCAUAACGUCGCAGACCAAAGAGGGAAAUCAGGCCUCUUACCAUCGGAUGUUAACAGAUGGGAUUAGCUUGUUGGGCGGUAAACAGCUCACCAGGCGAUCAGCUGGUCUGAAGGAUGACAGCCACACUGGAACUGAGACACAGUCCAGACUCUACGGGAGGCAGCAGUGGGAAUAUUGCAGUGGGCUGCGGCCUGAUGCAACCAUGCCGCGUGCCGGAAGAGGCCUUCGGGUUGUAAAAGAAACAGCGGGGAGAAGGGUAAAGGGUCAGCCCUUUGCUUUCAUUGCCACCGAGCACCAACUAACUCCCGUGCAGCCACCUUGGUAAUACGGAGGGAGUGCAAGCGUUAAUCAGAAUUACUGAAUAAAAAGCGCGGGCGGUUGUUAAGUCAGUCAUGAAGUCCCGUCAGCUGGGGCUGCAUAGAAAUGCAGCAGACAGAGGUGGUAGAAUUCCAGUGUAGCGAGGUGAAAUGCAUGAGAGAUCUGGAGGAACACCGGUGGCGAGGCGUACUGGACAGCAACCUCAGGUGCAGCGUAGAGCAAACCGGGAUUAGAUACACGGUAAUUCCGCGCGUAAAGCGAUGUCGACUUGGGUUGUGCACCCCUUGAGGCGUAGCUUCCCGGAGACUAACGUUAGAGUCGACCGCCACGGUACCGGGGUGCCAAAACCGAUAAUGGAAUUGACGGGGGCCACGGCGGUGGAGCAUGUGGUUUAAUUCAUUACAGCGCGAAGACACCACAGAUGUGACAUCCGCGGAGAUUUCGGUGCGGUACUGGGAACGCAAUGAGACGGGUGCAUGGCUGUCAUCAACUCGAUGACUGGCCAGUAUUGGGUUAGGUGAUCCACAACGAGCGCAACCUUAUCACUUUGUUGCCAACGGUCGGCCAGGGAACUCAAAAGGAGACUGGUAAACGGGGGAAAGGGUGGGGAUGGCAGAGUCAUGUCGCGCCGACUGAGGGAGCUACACGCAUGCUACAAUGGCUGCCCCAAAGAAGGCGACUCGCGAGAGCAAGCGGACCCUCAUAAAGUGCGUCGUAGUCCGGAUUGAGUCUACGCUCUCGACUCCAUGAAGUCGGAAUCGCUAAUCGACCGGGUUAAAGAUACCACGGUGGAAGCAAUUCCACAGCCUUGUACACUGCCGUCACACACGGGGAGUGGUUGCAAAAGAAGUGAUGCUUAACCA
rnacentral:rRNA from 1 species